rnacentral:rRNA from 1 species
UUGACCUCGGAUCAGGUAGGGAUACCCGCUGAACUUAACAUAUCCAUAAUAAACCGAA